rfam:Oryza sativa (indica cultivar-group) chromosome 8, whole genome shotgun sequence.
AAUAAGUACAGUUUUGCACUAUUCAUCUUCAACUUUUGAUCGUUCGUCUUAUUUGAAAAAAUUUUAUGAUUACUAUAUUUAUUGUUAUUAGAUGAUAAAACAUAAAUAGUACUUUAUGUGUGACUAUUUUUUUAAAAAAAAAUUAUAAUUUUUUUAAAUAAGACGGACGGUCAAACGUUGGACACGGAUUUCCACGGUUGCACUUAUU